rnacentral:tRNA from 1 species
UUAAUUGAAACCAAAACUUAGAGGUAUACCACUGUUAAUGGUAAAAUUGAAAAAUUUCCAAUUAAA